GGAUGGGGUGGGGGAGCUGGGAGGAGAAGGGGACGAAGAGAGAGAGAGAGAGAGGGACGAAGAAAUGGAGGUUUUUUUAUAAGCUUUUUUUAAAUGUUAUUUUAUUAUAUUAUAUAAUUGGUUUAUUAAUUUUUUAAGAAAUUGGUGGGUUCCACAGUGCACACAUCAUCAAUUAACGUCUGCCCAAAUGGUUAACUUAACGGAAGGCUUAAAUUGGUCAGAUUAAAAAUCAUCGAGUGUAAAUUGAUGAAAUUGAAACUCGAGGGCCCAUAUUAAGAAUGACACCAAAUCUUUAGUGUGUCUUUGACGUUAGCCCAAAAAAAAAAUUGUGUAAAAAAAGAAAAGAAAAAGAAAAAUCAAGACAAUAUCAAGAUGAAGUUAUGUGCUAAAGCACAAGACGUUAUAAUUGUAUGGAAAGCUCUACUUAGUCCUUAGACUUUGUUUGUUCAUCC
rnacentral:lncRNA from 1 species